GCAAUACAUGAAACAAACUCAUCUUAGGAUCUAGCUUCCGAAAAGACAGGAUAAUACAAUCCAAAGAAAAUAUGGUGGAAAUUCUAUUGCAAAUGUAUGUACAGGUAAACGAUAAAACAAGAAAUCUCUUACAAAUACACAUUGGUCAGCAAUCUUCCGGUAGCUGCUAUCUUCAUCCAUCAGCAUGCACAAAAGGAAGUCCUCGAAAAUCUCUAAUCAAUGUACAUUUCCUUCAUUAUUCACAAGCAUAUUGUAGGUGGUAUUCUCUCUGAAGGAAACAGUUGCUACGGAUGGACUGAUGGUCAUCAACCAACUCAAUUUGUGGGUUCAAGCUUGAAGCGGAGAUUCUGGAUCAGAACCGGAAAUAGAAGAGAAUGACACAGUAUCUUCCUUAGCCAUAGACACAAAGUUGAGAGGGCCGGUAGAGAGCCUUGUCAUUUCCUUGAAAUAACCAUUGUGCCGCACAGAGUUGGAACGGGGUGUUAAGAGCUCUGGAGUUGCACAAGACAUUGAGCUCCUACGUGGCGAGGGUGUAACAGAUCCAUGUCCAUUGGCAUUAUAACCAUUUCCCUUCCUAAAGCUGCUGCUUCUUCU
rnacentral:misc_RNA from 1 species